ACCCGCAGAGGGGAACGAAAAGGGCAGGAAAUGGGGGCACACGCGCGAGGCGUUAGGGGUUCUGCGCCACAGCAGAUUCUGAGGGAAAAAUAAGGAAAAAUGCCUCCAGGAGCUGGGGCUGCAUGAAGAAAAGCCACACCCCCUCUAUCUCACCUCUCCUGCUAAAACAAACCGCAAGACCUGGAAACAGCGAAAACGGCAGGUUUGGGAGUGCCAACAUGUUACCCCCACCAGCAGCCGCCUUUGUGAACAGCCACCUGCAGAAAUCACUGGGCCAUUUCAAAACAACUAGAGCUAAGCAACAAUGGACCAUGGGAGACGCCCAUCUACCCUGAGUGGACUGUCAUGUAAACGUGCUGUCUGGAAUGUAAGAGCUGGCAGCACUGGAUCUGACCUGGUAGAAUGGUGGCAGUGAACUGGAUGGGAGCUGCCACCUGAGGAUAGAGAAGAACUGGUCAGGCAGUGGCAGACUGGAUGGAGGCAAUUUCAG